ensembl:lncRNA
CGUGAUUAUGUGAUAAUCCAGUGAGUAAUGGAUAAAGCAUGAUGGAUGAACGUAAUUUGCUUUGGUUCAGUGAGUCUGGUGGCAGAGAGCUCCCCAAAGAAUUUCAAUUAAAGCUGCUAGAUUAGAGUAUUGCCGAUGCUCAUCAAGCGUCUAGACUUCGUAAACAAAACCUGAAUGUCGACAGCUUACAGUCAAUGGCAGGGUGAUUGCUAUGCGGUUCACACACCAGUCUUGCCAGAUGCAGACCCCCAAAGUUUGCCUGUGAUUGGCCAGCAGGGGAAAGGAGAGAGAGAGACCUGCAUCUGCACUCUACUCACGUCACCUUACUCUGCGCAGCAACACUACAAGGGCUGACGUCAAAUGCACCUCCUUCACUGAAGGCAAACGUUGGCAGUGAAUGAGAAUGAGAUGGAUGCAGGUGCCUUGGGAAUAAAAGAAGAAGGAAAGAGUCAAACCUAGAGCUGAUUUGGUAAACAGGACGCGAGAGUGGUACCAGAAUGAGUAAAUAGGUUGCAUGUACAUACUGAGAGAAGUACAAGAGAUAGAAGUGUGCAAUUGUUUUGUAUAAUCUUCUACAUAUGUGAAAGACGUUCCCGAUUACCUUCUCUCUUUACUACUCCACAUGACAGCAUCAAACACCACAUUUUCUAUUCAUUCCUCAUUCAUUCAUUCCUUAUCAGUAUGUGCUGAAGCAACAAAUACUGUAUCACAACAAUUCAUCUCUAAACAGCAUUAUCAUAUACACACGUGACACAUCUGAAGAUCCAUGCUCAUCAACCACUCGAAAAGUGCUAUUAUAGAAAUGAACAAGAAAGAAUAAAAAUAUUACCAAGUCUUACC